ensembl:snoRNA
UUGCAUGUUUAAUUAAGGAAACUAAAGAAAUUUUAUACAUCCAGAACAUGCUACAUUACACGAGGAGUUCUCAGGGCUGUCAACCUUACAGUAGAGGUUGAGUGGUAGUAUAUUUCUCCUACACAA